rnacentral:rRNA from 1 species
AAACGGGGUCUAAUACCGGAUAAUACUUUUCCCUGCAUGGGGGAAGGUUGAAAGCUCCGGCGGUGCAGGAUGAGCCCGCGGCCUAUCAGCUUGUUGGUGGGGUGAUGGCCUACCAAGGCGACGACGGGUAGCCGGCCUGAGAGGGCGACCGGCCACACUGGGACUGAGACACGGCCCAGACUCCUACGGGAGGCAGCAGUGGGGAAUAUUGCACAAUGGGCGAAAGCCUGAUGCAGCGACGCCGCGUGAGGGAUGACGGCCUUCGGGUUGUAAACCUCUUUCAGCAGGGAAGAAGCGCAAGUGACGGUACCUGCAGAAGAAGCACCGGCUAACUACGUGCCAGCAGCCGCGGUAAUACGUAGGGUGCGAGCGUUGUCCGGAAUUAUUGGGCGUAAAGAGCUCGUAGGCGGCUUGUCACGUCGGUUGUGAAAGCCCGGGGCUUAACCCCGGGUCUGCAGUCGAUACGGGCAGGCUAGAGUGUGGUAGGGGAGAUCGGAAUUCCUGGUGUAGCGGUGAAAUGCGCAGAUAUCAGGAGGAACACCGGUGGCGAAGGCGGAUCUCUGGGCCAUUACUGACGCUGAGGAGCGAAAGCGUGGGGAGCGAACAGGAUUAGAUACCCUGGUAGUCCACGCCGUAAACGUUGGGAACUAGGUGUUGGCGACAUUCCACGUCGUCGGGUGCCGCAGCUAACGCAUUA